rnacentral:rRNA from 1 species
ACAUGCAAGUCGAACGGGGGCACCGGUUUUCGGAUUGGUGCCUGAGUGGCGUACGGGUGAGUAACACGUGAGCAACCUGCCGUGCUGUGGGGGAUACCCAUUCGAAAGGAUGGUUAAUACCGCAUAGGGCGCAUUGCCUUCCUGGGCGAUGCGGGAAAGCCAGUAAUGGCGCAGCGCGAGGGGCUCGCGGCCUAUCAGUUAGUUGGUGCGGUCACGGCCCACCAAGGCGACGAUCCGUAGCUGGUCUGAGAGGACGAUCAGCCACACCGGAACUGAGACACGGUCCGGACUCCUACGGGAGGCAGCAGUGGGGAAUAUUGGACAAUGGGGGAAACCCUGAUCCAGCGACGCCGCGUGGGUGAAGAAGGCCUGCGGGUUGUAAAGCCCUUUCGGUAGGGACGAAAGCUCUUGCUCUAACAAAGCAGGAGGUUGACUUAACCUACAUAAGAAGCACCGGCUAACUCUGUGCCAGCAGCCGCGGUAAUACAGAGGGUGCGAGCGUUAAUCGGAAUUACUGGGCGUAAAGCGCACGUAGUCGGCUUGCCAAGUCGGGUGUGAAAUCCCCGGGCUCAACCUGGGAACUGCAUCCGAAACUGGCUUGCUAGAGUAUGGGAGAGGGAGGCGGAAUUUCUGGUGUAGCAGUGAAAUGCGUAGAUAUCAGAAGGAACAUCAGUGGCGAAGGCGGCCUCCUGGACCAAUACUGACGAUCAGGUGCGAAAGCGUGGGGAGCAAACAGGAUUAGAUACCCUGGUAGUCCACGCCCUAAACGAUGACAACUGGAUGUCGGGAGGGUUUGCCUUCCGGUGUCGUAGCUAACGCGUUAAGUUGUCCGCCUGGGGAGUACGGCCGCAAGGUUGAAACUCAAAGGAAUUGACGG